rnacentral:lncRNA from 1 species
GCCGGACAUAACAAUAAUAGACAGAGGGAAGAAAUUUUAAAUGACAUUUUUGUGGAGAUCCGGCCUGGGUAAUUACCAUAAACUGAAGUACUUGUUUCCUGGUAGAAAGUAAAAUAUCAUUUGGUAUAAUAACAAUGAAUGCACUUACUUACACCUAGUGGAUUUAGAUUAAAAACCAUCUAUUGCUCUCUGUUAACUGUAGAUUGUUCUAAAUAGAAGUAAACUGCCUUCCUUUUAUCUUAUUUGGUGGCCAGUUUUUUUGUUUGCUUUUAUAUUGUCCACAUCUAGAAAAUAGAUAGACAUGUACCUAACGGACACAGUCCAUUGUUGUCAGGCGUAGCUAUUAGAAUUAUCUCCCUUUUCUCAUGUUUCAGGCUAUCAAACUCAGCCAAGCUACCCGGGGUCGUGUCAUCCAGAUACCAGAUAUGGAAGAGUGAGCAGAAUGAUCAUGCAACAUCAUCUACAGCCAAUGCAAAAGAGAGCUGACCAAAAAGAUCACUCUGCUGGACAAAUUGUAGAAGCUAUCAUGUUGUCAGCAGCCAUGAGUGUGUUUAAUUUACAGUUGUUUCCUCGAAAAUUGAUCUCAUGGGCAUUAUUAUAUUAUUAUUGCAUAACAGGCAAACGUUUGUAUAUGUAGUGUCCUAGACACAAAAUCGAAGGUUGAUUCUUUGGAAACAUGUAUAAAAGUAAUUUUCAAGGAAAUAGAAAGACUUGCUCACUCCCUUCUCCUUGGUUAUAACUAUAGAAACUGUAGAUUUUUGCGAAUUUUCUGACAUUUAUUUGAUAUAACAAACAAUCUCUAAAUUACCACCUAUCUGAUAGCCUAAACCCAUGGAUGAGCUUUAUAGGAUAAACUUCAGAGCUAAUACACCAAUGAAAGUACGUGUGUGUGUGUGUAACAGUGACGUCACAGCUGAAUAAUUAUAACCAUUUAAGGAAAACAAAAACUAUUACAUUCACUUUCAUAUGUCUACUAUGAAGUGUCAACAGUUUUGAUUACACUUCCACUAUCUGAUCACAAACACAGUUUCGUGUGGAAACUUCCAAGACACAAGCAUUCUCUCUCUCUCUCUCUCUCUCUCUCUCUCUCUCUCUCUCUCUCUCUCUCUCUCUCUCUCUCACACACACACACACACACACACACACACACACACAUAUUUGUGAACAGAUACGACUCUUAAGUCAAAACAUGCACAAGGCCAGAAAUUUGGCAGAAGUUAGUAAAUUAGAUCAACCCCUGUACUUGACUAGUACUUUAUCAACCUCAGAGGUGUGAAAGGUAAUUUUGAAAGGUGACUUUGGAAAAACUCAAAAUAUAAAAGCCAAAACAAAUAUCACAAGGUACCUUUUCCAUCUGAUCUCCAGGUCCCACAUAUACAAGCUCCAUUCUUUUUUUAUUUUUUUUAUUUUUUUGCUGAUGCUGUAAUUAAUGUAAGACCGAGGAUGGUGGACACAAAAGGGAUGACAUGACAGUAGAGAGUUAUGUAUGGAGCUCAAAGGAGCAUGGCCACUGUAGUAGUGGUUGUAAAACCGAAGAGCUGACCUAGCUUAUCUGUGGGCCAAAAGGUGAAAUAUGUUGGUGAGUGACUUCAUGUCAACCAGAUAAAUAGCCUUUCUUUGGAUGCAAUCUUAUAUGGCAGCCAUAGCACUGUCCAAAAUGUGGGAGCAUUAUUACAUUAAGGUCUCACCAGAGAAUUAAUUAUAAAAAGUUCCUCUGAAGAAGUAGGCCAGUGGCUAUGCUGAAGAUAUGUGUUGUUCAGUGAUAGUUGUGCUUGGUAUUUGUAAUGUCCUUAGAUUAAUUAGUUGCGUGUUGGUCAAGUUUAGAAGGCUGGUAUAUAUUUUCAUAAAGUGUGUAUUGAGUGUUCCUUUGUGCUGUUGAAAGAGGCAAGAUUAAAACAAAGAUUCUACUGGAGGAAGUUUUGAAGGUCUAAGAUCAUGGAGGGAGUGCAGGUUUUGCAUGAAAUAUCUUAAGUUACAUGUGGAUGAUGCUUGGGAGCAGAAUGGUAAAGGGGAAUGAAAGUUGGUAUCAUACAUUUAAGAGUGAGCCAGUAAUACCAAGUAGAUAUUUGAUGUAUAGGAAGACGAGUGGAAAGGCUACAAAAGCAAACACUGUUGCACAACAGAGUUGAUAGGCUGUGGGUCAGCACAGGAGACCAAUAGACAAAAGAUGGAUGGAGCCCAUAGACUACCACUUUCACAUGGUCAAAUAUUUUAUUAGUUUUGAUGCAUUUUUUGUUUUGCUUCUUUCUUUUCUCCAAGACAUAUUUGUCAAUACCUUUAAAGGUGGCAUGAGCCAAACUAACUUCAUGCAGUAGAGAUCUAGAUAGUAGCAUUAAAAAUGUUAGAGACAGAAAACAAUACUGUAACUAGCAACAUCUAAGAAAGCAGAAUCUAAAGUAAAAAAUGUAAAAUUCUAAAAUGCAUCUCAAAUUUAUUAAUUUACUUCAUUUUAAUUUAAAAGUAAUUUGCUUCACAAUAAAUGUAAC